GAUGAACGCUAGCUACAGGCUUAACACAUGCAAGUCGAGGGGCAUCAGUUUGGUUUGCUUGCAAACCAAAGCUGGCGACCGGCGCACGGGUGAGUAACACGUAUCCAACCUGCCUCAUACUCGGGGAUAGCCUUUCGAAAGAAAGAUUAAUAUCCGAUAGCAUAUAUUUCCCGCAUGGGUUUUAUAUUAAAGAAAUUCGGUAUGAGAUGGGGAUGCGUUCCAUUAGUUUGUUGGGGGGGUAACGGCCCACCAAGACUACGAUGGAUAGGGGUUCUGAGAGGAAGGUCCCCCACAUUGGAACUGAGACACGGUCCAAACUCCUACGGGAGGCAGCAGUGAGGAAUAUUGGUCAAUGGACGCGAGUCUGAACCAGCCAAGUAGCGUGAAGGAUGACUGCCCUAUGGGUUGUAAACUUCUUUUAUAUGGGAAUAAAGUUGUCCACGUGUGGAUUUUUGUAUGUACCAUAUGAAUAAGGAUCGGCUAACUCCGUGCCAGCAGCCGCGGUAAUACGGAGGAUCCGAGCGUUAUCCGGAUUUAUUGGGUUUAAAGGGAGCGUAGGCGGAUUGUUAAGUCAGUUGUGAAAGUUUGCGGCUCAACCGUAAAAUUGCAGUUGAUACUGGCAGUCUUGAGUGCAGUAGAGGUGGGCGGAAUUCGUGGUGUAGCGGUGAAAUGCUUAGAUAUCACGAAGAACUCCGAUUGCGAAGGCAGCUCACUGGAGUGUAACUGACGCUGAUGCUCGAAAGUGUGGGUAUCAAACAGGAUUAGAUACCCUGGUAGUCCACACAGUAAACGAUGAAUACUCGCUGUUUGCGAUAUACAGUAAGCGGCCAAGCGAAAGCAUUAAGUAUUCCACCUGGGGAGUACGCCGGCAACGGUGAAACUCAAAGGAAUUGACGGGGGCCCGCACAAGCAGUGGAGUAUGUGGUUUAAUUUGACGCAACGCGAAGAACCUUACCAAGUCUUGACAUCCUGCGACGCACAUAGAAAUAUGUGUUUCCUUCGGGACGCAGAGACAGGUGGUGCAUGGUUGUCGUCAGCUCGUGUCGUGAGAUGUUGGGUUAAGUCCCGCAACGAGCGCAACCCUUAUGGUCAGUUAUUACGCAAGAGGACUCUGGCCAGACUGCCGUUGACAAAACGGAGGAAGGUGGGGAGGACGUCAAAUCAUCAUGCCCCCUAUGACUUGGGCUACACACGUACUACAAUGGCGUUAAACAAAGAGAAGCAAGACCGCGAGGUGGAGCAAAACUCAGAAACAACGUCCCAGUUCGGACUGCAGGCUGCAACUCGCCUGCACGAAGUCGGAAUUGCUAGUAAUCGUGGAUCAGCAUGCCACGGUGAAUACGUUCCCGGGCCUUGCACA
rnacentral:rRNA from 1 species